AAGGGAGCACAAGGUGCCACUUGUAUAGUUUGGCGUUUGGGGUCAAAGGUACGUCACAUGACUGCAACUAGGAAACGGAGCUUUGAGAGCUAUCAGUAGAUAUUUCUUAAACGCGAUAACAGAAAGUACUAUCUUUUAUGUUACUCCCUUGCUCGUUGAAAGUGGUCCCGACACGAUAAGAAGCGACAUGGGCUCUCCUAACCAGACCUGUGACAGUGGUGUACCCAUGGACCUCUUCCUACACUAUUCUCUCGUUCCGUCGGUAAGGGGUCUCUGUGUCCCCCAUACAGUACGUUAACAUCCAGGUUACAGCACUUGGAUCAGGAUGAUUUUCACAUACCACUACCACAACAACCCUGUCAUGUUGUGUUUCUGCCAUCUUCUCCUGGAGAGACAACAGAGGACCACAGAGGCAGAAUCGUACUCCACGUUCAACAACACACCUUCGCCAGAUUCAGCCUGUGGAAGUCGGGCCAGGCGGCGAUGGAUGCUCCUCUACACCCUGAUGAAGAACCCACGACUGAUCCUCCUGAGGAAGAACAGGACCUCCUCCAGUCCCACUCACCAGGACACUGUUGUCCAAGCCUGGCUGCUGGCCUCUCAAACCGAACAGAUGGGACAGGCACCAGAGACGACAGCCACAGCCGUUACAUCAGAUCAGACGACGGCCAAUGGGCAGGCAUUAACUGACUGAUUCUGCUCAUGGCUUAUACAUGCGCAGCCUGAAAUAGUGUAGUACAAUAAUGUGACAUAACAUUUAGUAGGCCUACACACAUUUCGAGGACCCCUUUUUGGCUCAUGGGUGCUACAUUUGAUACUACAGGCCAAGCUCUUACAAUGCAUUGUAUUGUAUGUGAUGAAUCAUGGGAAAUGGGGAUAACAACUGAAAUGUGUCUUCUGCAUUUAACCCAACCCCAGAGAGGUGCCGGGGGCUGGCUUAAUUGACAUCUACAUCUUUGGCACCCAGGGAACAGUGGGUUAACUGCCUUGCUUAGGGGCAGAACAACAGAUUCUUACCUUGUCAGCUCGGGGAUUCUAUCCAGCAAACUUUCGGUUACUGGGCCAAUGUUCUAACCAUUAGGCUAAUAUGAUUAAUGCAUUACAAAUUUGGAAAUAUCUACAUAAUUACUCCUACUGGGAAAAAUGCUAGGACAAAUUGAACAUAGUUAUGCUUUGUACCUCAUAACGGUCCAUUUGUUUUUACUCGGCCACGUAGCCACAGGAAGUAGAGGUGCUGAGGGUGUUGCAGCACUCUCUGAAAAAUCGGAAUAAAAAAUAUACAAUACCA